AUUGAACGCUGGCGGCAGGCCUAACACAUGCAAGUCGAACGAGUGGCGGACGGGUGAGUAAUGUCUGGGAAACUGCCCGAUGGAGGGGGAUAACUACUGGAAACGGUAGCUAAUACCGCAUACCAUCGGAUGUGCCCAGAUGGGAUUAGCUUGUAGGUGAGGUAACGGCUCACCUAGGCGACGAGCCCUAGUUGGUCUGAGAGGAUGACAAGCCACACGGGAACUGAGAAACGGUACAGAAUCUGACGUGAGGCAGCAGUGGGGAAUAGUGCACAAUGUGCGCAAGCCUGAUGCAGCCUGGCCGCGUGUAUGAAGAAGGCCUUCGGGUUGUAAAGUACUUUCAGCGGGGAGGCGUUACCCGCAGAAGAAGCACAGGCUAACUCCGUGCCAGCAGCCGCGGUAAGUC
rnacentral:rRNA from 1 species